UAUAAUUUCACGAUUAAAGGUAUCCAUAAUCGUUGAUAAAUACAAACUACUUAUCUAAUACUCCUACAUGUAAGACAUGAUAGUAGUCACAAAUUGUAUGAAGCUAGGUGAAGUCGGCUGAACAAAACCUAAGUGAGAAAUCAUAAGGUGAUAGAUAGGUCGGGAUGCUACAAA
rnacentral:ncRNA from 1 species